rnacentral:rRNA from 1 species
GGGUUGUGAGGUUAAGCGACUAAGCGUACACGGUGGAUGCCCUGGCAGUCAGAGGCGAUGAAGGACGUGCUAAUCUGCGAUAAGCGUCGGUAAGGUGAUAUGAACCGUUAUAACCGGCGAUUUCCGAAUGGGGAAACCCAGUGUGAUUCGUCACACUAUCAUUAACUGAAUCCAUAGGUUAAUGAGGCGAACCGGGGGAACUGAAACAUCUAAGUACCCCGAGGAAAAGAAAUCAACCGAGAUUCCCCCAGUAGCGGCGAGCGAACGGGGAGCAGCCCAGAGCCUGAAUCAGUGUGUGUGUUAGUGGAAGCGUCUGGAAAGGCGUGCGAUACAGGGUGACAGCCCCGUACACAAAAAUGCACAUACUGUGAGCUCGAUGAGUAGGGCGGGACACGUGGUAUCCUGUCUGAAUAUGGGGGGACCAUCCUCCAAGGCUAAAUACUCCUGACUGACCGAUAGUGAACCAGUACCGUGAGGGAAAGGCGAAAAGAACCCCGGCGAGGGGAGUGAAAAAGAACCUGAAACCGUGUACGUACAAGCAGUGGGAGCACGCUUAGGCGUGUGACUGCGUACCUUUUGUAUAAUGGGUCAGCGACUUAUAUUCUGUAGCAAGGUUAACCGAAUAGGGGAGCCGAAGGGAAACCGAGUCUUAACUGGGCGUUAAGUUGCAGGGUAUAGACCCGAAACCCGGUGAUCUAGCCAUGGGCAGGUUGAAGGUUGGGUAACACUAACUGGAGGACCGAACCGACUAAUGUUGAAAAAUUAGCGGAUGACUUGUGGCUGGGGGUGAAAGGCCAAUCAAACCGGGAGAUAGCUGGUUCUCCCCGAAAGCUAUUUAGGUAGCGCCUCGUGAAUUCAUCUCCGGGGGUAGAGCACUGUUUCGGCAAGGGGGUCAUCCCGACUUACCAACCCGAUGCAAACUGCGAAUACCGGAGAAUGUUAUCACGGGAGACACACGGCGGGUGCUAACGUCCGUCGUGAAGAGGGAAACAACCCAGACCGCCAGCUAAGGUCCCAAAGUCAUGGUUAAGUGGGAAACGAUGUGGGAAGGCCCAGACAGCCAGGAUGUUGGCUUAGAAGCAGCCAUCAUUUAAAGAAAGCGUAAUAGCUCACUGGUCGAGUCGGCCUGCGCGGAAGAUGUAACGGGGCUAAACCAUGCACCGAAGCUGCGGCAGCGACGCUUAUGCGUUGUUGGGUAGGGGAGCGUUCUGUAAGCCUGUGAAGGUGUACUGUGAGGUAUGCUGGAGGUAUCAGAAGUGCGAAUGCUGACAUAAGUAACGAUAAAGCGGGUGAAAAGCCCGCUCGCCGGAAGACCAAGGGUUCCUGUCCAACGUUAAUCGGGGCAGGGUGAGUCGACCCCUAAGGCGAGGCCGAAAGGCGUAGUCGAUGGGAAACAGGUUAAUAUUCCUGUACUUGGUGUUACUGCGAAGGGGGGACGGAGAAGGCUAUGUUGGCCGGGCGACGGUUGUCCCGGUUUAAGCGUGUAGGCUGGUUUUCCAGGCAAAUCCGGAAAAUCAAGGCCGAGGCGUGAUGACGAGGCACUACGGUGCUGAAGCAACAAAUGCCCUGCUUCCAGGAAAAGCCUCUAAGCAUCAGGUAACAUCAAAUCGUACCCCAAACCGACACAGGUGGUCAGGUAGAGAAUACCAAGGCGCUUGAGAGAACUCGGGUGAAGGAACUAGGCAAAAUGGUGCCGUAACUUCGGGAGAAGGCACGCUGAUACGUAGGUGAAGCGACUUGCUCGUGGAGCUGAAAUCAGUCGAAGAUACCAGCUGGCUGCAACUGUUUAUUAAAAACACAGCACUGUGCAAACACGAAAGUGGACGUAUACGGUGUGACGCCUGCCCGGUGCCGGAAGGUUAAUUGAUGGGGUUAGCGCAAGCGAAGCUCUUGAUCGAAGCCCCGGUAAACGGCGGCCGUAACUAUAACGGUCCUAAGGUAGCGAAAUUCCUUGUCGGGUAAGUUCCGACCUGCACGAAUGGCGUAAUGAUGGCCAGGCUGUCUCCACCCGAGACUCAGUGAAAUUGAACUCGCUGUGAAGAUGCAGUGUACCCGCGGCAAGACGGAAAGACCCCGUGAACCUUUACUAUAGCUUGACACUGAACAUUGAGCCUUGAUGUGUAGGAUAGGUGGGAGGCUUUGAAGUGUGGACGCCAGUCUGCAUGGAGCCGACCUUGAAAUACCACCCUUUAAUGUUUGAUGUUCUAACGUGGACCCGUAAUCCGGGUUGCGGACAGUGUCUGGUGGGUAGUUUGACUGGGGCGGUCUCCUCCUAAAGAGUAACGGAGGAGCACGAAGGUUGGCUAAUCCUGGUCGGACAUCAGGAGGUUAGUGCAAUGGCAUAAGCCAGCUUGACUGCGAGCGUGACGGCGCGAGCAGGUGCGAAAGCAGGUCAUAGUGAUCCGGUGGUUCUGAAUGGAAGGGCCAUCGCUCAACGGAUAAAAGGUACUCCGGGGAUAACAGGCUGAUACCGCCCAAGAGUUCAUAUCGACGGCGGUGUUUGGCACCUCGAUGUCGGCUCAUCACAUCCUGGGGCUGAAGUAGGUCCCAAGGGUAUGGCUGUUCGCCAUUUAAAGUGGUACGCGAGCUGGGUUUAGAACGUCGUGAGACAGUUCGGUCCCUAUCUGCCGUGGGCGCUGGAGAACUGAGGGGGGCUGCUCCUAGUACGAGAGGACCGGAGUGGACGCAUCACUGGUGUUCGGGUUGUCAUGCCAAUGGCACUGCCCGGUAGCUAAAUGCGGAAGAGAUAAGUGCUGAAAGCAUCUAAGCACGAAACUUGCCCCGAGAUGAGUUCUCCCUGACCCUUUAAGGGUCCUGAAGGAACGUUGAAGACGACGACGUUGAUAGGCCGGGUGUGUAAGCGCAGCGAUGCGUUGAGCUAACCGGUACUAAUGAACCGUGAGG